rnacentral:rRNA from 1 species
UAGGGAAUCUUCCGCAAUGGACGAAAGUCUGACGCAGCAACGCCGCGUGAGUGAAGAAGGAUUUCGGUUCGUAAAACUCUGUUGUUAGGGAAGAAAAAAUGUAUAGUAACUAUAUACAAAAGAGACGGUACCUAACCAGAAAGCCACGGCUAACUACGUGCCAGCAGCCGCGGUAAUACGUAGGUGGCAAGCGUUGUCCGGAAUUAUUGGGCGUAAAGCGCGCGCAGGUGGUUUAGAAAGUCUGAUGUGAAAGCCCACGGCUCAACCGUGGAGGGUCAUUGGAAACUAAUAAACUUGAGUGCAGGAGAGAAAAGUGGAAUUCCUAGUGUAGCGGUGAAAUGCGUAGAGAUUAGGAGGAACACCGGUGGCGAAAGCGGCUUUUUGGCCUGCAACUGACACUGAGGCGCGAAAGCGUGGGGAGCAAACAGG